rnacentral:rRNA from 1 species
AUUGAACGCUGGCGGCAUGCCUUACACAUGCAAGUCGAACGGCAGCACGGGUGCUUGCUCCUGGUGGCGAGUGGCGAACGGGUGAGUAAUACAUCGGAACAUGUCCUGUAGUGGGGGAUAGCCCGGCGAAAGCCGGAUUAAUGCCGCAUACGAUCUACGGAUGAAAGCGGGGGACCUUCGGGCCUCGCGCUAUAGGGUUGGCCGAUGGCUGAUUAGCUAGUUGGUGGGGUAAAGGCCUACCAAGGCGACGAUCAGUAGCUGGUCUGAGAGGACGACCAGCCACACUGGGACUGAGACACGGCCCAGACUCCUACGGGAGGCAGCAGUGGGGAAUUUUGGACAAUGGGCGAAAGCCUGAUCCAGCAAUGCCGCGUGUGUGAAGAAGGCCUUCGGGUUGUAAAGCACUUUUGUCCGGAAAGAAAUCCUUGGCCCUAAUACGGUCGGGGGAUGACGGUACCGGAAGAAUAAGCACCGGCUAACUACGUG